rnacentral:lncRNA from 1 species
UGCAGGGAGUUUUCACUAAGUGUUUCAAAGAGCUGCCAAGCCUCAUCCUCACUCUUUAGCAUAAAUGUCCCACCACACGAUGUAUCAAUCAUUUGUCAAUGUUUCUCUGAUAGACCAUCAUAGAAACACUGAACAAGUUAUCAUUUGGGGACAACAUAGUGGGGCAUUUAUGAAUAAGGUCUCUUAAUCUUUUUCAUGUCUCAUGAAAAAGUUCACCAUCC